ACGGGUGAGUAACGCGUAGGAAUCUGCCUUUUAGUGGAGAAUACUCUCGAGAAAUCGAGCUUAAUACUGCAUAAGUCUUGAAAAAGAGAAAGAUGGCCUCUUUGCUGUCGCUAAAAGAUGAGCCUGCGUACUAUUAGCUAGUUGGUAGGGUAAAGGCCUACCAAGGCGAUGAUGGUUAGCCGGCCUGAGAGGGUGUACGGCCACACUGGAACUUAGACACGGUCCAGACUCCUACGGGAGGCAGCAGUGAGGAAUAUUGCGCAAUGGGCGAAAGCCUGACGCAGCGACGCCGCGUGGAGGAUGAAGGUCUUAGGAUUGUAAACUUCUGUUAAGCGGGAAGAAAAGUAAAGCAUUAAUACAGCUUUAUCAUGACGGUACCGCUAGAGAAAGCACCGGCUAACUUCGUGCCAGCAGCCGCGGUAAUACGAAGGGUGCGAGCGUUAUUCGGAAUUAUUGGGCGUAAAGGGUGCGUAGGCGGCAUGCUAAGUCAACUGUUAAAGACCUCAGCCUAACUGGGGAUCGGCGGUAGAUACUGGCGUGCUAGAGGGUGGAAGAGAGAAGUGGAAUUCUUGGA
rnacentral:rRNA from 1 species